GCCGCCUCCCGGCCGCCCUCCGCCCCGCGCGCUCGUUGAGGCCGGUGCUCCAGAGUGAAGAGCGUGGCGGUGCGGCGGUAGCGCAGGGCCCUCCUGCGGGGCCAGGCAGGGGCGGGUGGGCGCUCCUUGCCACCUUUCUGCUCUCCCUGCUGUCCGAGAAGUUCGUGCGGUGCCAGCCCAGCUCCCAGCUGGGGACAGAACAGGAAACGUCCCCGGCGAGCCUGGCGGGGGUGGCGGCAGGGGUGUCUGUCGCCUGCGCUGGGCAGGACGCGCGUCCUACCGGCCUCCCACUCCGCGGGCCUCACCAGCCACCUCAUUCCCGGAGCCCGGGCCGCCGAGAGCGCCGCGGAUGGACCUCAGGGAAGGCCUGGCGCGCCGCCUCCGGGAAGCCUUCCGGCCUUCUCCCUCCACCGAGUACUGGGGAGUCUCAGGCCACGGUGAAUGAAGAGCAACGGGCCGGAGAGACCUCGGCCUCUGCCCAGGAGCAGCGCCCAGCAACCCCGCCCACAGGGGACCCGGUGGACGCCCUGGUGGCCACUUUGCCAGGCUCCCCAUCUCCCAGCGAACCAGAGAGGAUUUCCGUUCCCCUCCUGCUUGGUGCCUAGCGCCAGGGCGGGGCGUGGGCUGAGCAGCCCCUCCCAUGGAGGGAGCGGCCAGUCUACAUAUUGGAGGUUAGAUCUGCCUGUCCCAGAAUUUCACCUGAAUCACAAAGCGUGGCGCCUCGGGGCCUGGCUCCCUUCACGUGGCCUGAUGUCUGCAUAUUCAUCCGCCGUGCAGUGUGUGUCCACGGUUCAUUUUGUGUUGCCACGGAGCAUCUCAUUGUGUGGCCCUAGCCCAGUGUGUUAAUCCGUUCACCUGCUGGUGGGUGUUGCAGUGGUUUCCAGCUCUUGGUUAUCACCGAGAAAGUGACUGUGAACUUCCGCACACACGUUUUGCUGAGGACAACUCCUUCCAUUUCACUUGGUUAUUAGGAGUGGAGUUGCUGGGUCCUAGGGAAGGGUCCACGUCUGACAAGUCCACCGUGGCUGCCCUUCUGGGCCUGUUGCUGCUGACUCACGUUCCCACGGCCACCUUUCCCUGCGUCUGGACGUAGUAGCAAUUUCUCGUUGGAUGUGGACAUUGUGCUGUGACCGCUUUGAUCACCUGGCAUUUUUGUUGGGUUGUUUUUGGCCUUCCUUUAAAGGACGCUGCGCUGUGUUCUGCGUGGAGUUCAGCUCCUUGCUCUUCACUUUGGUCUUCGUGUGGCUGGUUCUGAAGCCUCUCAGAGCAGGUCCAGCCCAGCCUUUCCUGCAGGAAGAGUCCAGCCCCACUCCCAGGACGGGCCCUGCUGGGUGGCUGCCAACAGCCCAGGAUCCUCCAGGACUCUCCCCCUGGCGGUUGGAACUCCUGUCUCCCACCUGUGAGUCCCAGGGGCCGGGGGUCCACAGCCCCCUAGGGUCCCAUCCAUGCUGAAGAGUCCACCUUCCACAUCCAUGGCGCCUGACUCCGGAGGCCUCAGAGGCCCUCAGGCAGCCUUCUGGAGCUUUCUGUCUGUGCAGUUCCCUCCCUUCUGGAGCUCUGCCUGCCAGGUCCCUCUGCGGAUGUCUCCCUGAGCACUGACCUCCUUCUCCUCAGCCCGCCAGGACUGCUGGACCUGCCUGGAUGCCCGCCCCUGCUCGGCCAUCCUCAAUGGGCCUCCACCCCAGGGCUGGGGUGACCCGGGCUGAAAACAGUUCAUCCUGAGUUUCAGUCUCGAGCUUUCGUGGCAGGAGGGAAACUGCUGGCUGUGUUACUCCACGGCGGCUGGAACGGACGGGACCAGCUCCCUUCAGAGGGGCACUUCGGUUGGUUCUAGAAUUCUCCUUUGCUAUGAAGGCUGCCGGGCACAUUCCACACCAGCCACCCUCCACCUCGCAUGUGCGUUUAUCGAUGAAACGCCACAGUGGGACCUCCUGGAUCAAAUAGUGCAAUGAUGUAAACGCUUAGUAUUGUCCUGGAACCUGCCUCCGAAAAGGCCGUGCGCUCCCGCCUGGGAUCCUGCUGCUCCUCCGCCGGCCGCCCCGCACACGCUCCGCUGCCUCUCUGGGCUGGCUCAGCCGUUGCAUGUUCCUGCGUGUGCACUGAGACGUCCACCCUGGCACGCUUCUUCCCCUCGGCACGUGGUCCCCACGCUGUGCCUGCCCAGCUCGGAGCCCAGAGGCCCCCGCAGCUCCCCACAACUUCAUGGUGCAGUGACCUGAGGCCUCCCCUGGCUCAGUCCCUUUCCCAGGGUCAGGGGUCCAUGUAUUGAACCAGGACGGGAGGUGCCUUCCCCCUGAGCUCUGUCCCUGCUGAACCUGGAAGGCAGCGCCCGGUGGCGGCUCAGACCCCCAGAGCCUCUUCUGAGGUCCGACACUCCUCUGCUCCCCC
rnacentral:lncRNA from 1 species